rnacentral:tRNA from 1 species
GCCUGGCUGGCUCAGUUGGUAGAGCAUGGGACUCUUGAUCUUGGGGUUGUGAGUUUGAGCCCUAUGUUGGGUG